rnacentral:rRNA from 1 species
CGUGUAGGCGGAUACGCAAGUCGGUUGUGAAAUCCCUGGGCUCAACCUAGGAACUGCAUCCGAAACUGUGUGUCUUGAGUAAUGGAGAGGGUGGCGGAAUUCCCGGUGUAGAGGUGAAAUUCGUAGAUAUCGGGAGGAACAUCUGUGGCGAAGGCGGCCACCUGGACAUUUACUGACGCUGAGACGCGAAAGCGUGGGGAGCAAACA